rnacentral:lncRNA from 1 species
CUCUAUCUUCUAAGAUUAGUUAUCAAAUCAGUCUAAGUUGUCAUAUCUUCGCUAUCGAGCCAACCAGGCUUCAAUCUGACAGGCUUCUCUAACAGUUUCUUGAAUCGGGCCAAUUCUCGUGGGCUAAAUGAUCCCCAUCUAAGCAAUAAAUCUCCAUCGAAUGCAUUUAGUUGGCUUUGAACUCUGACCCGUGACACUAGCACAACCUUGACAGUUCUAAAUGAAAACUGACAAAUUCAUAGAUAAAUAAAGAAAAUAAUAUAAGACUAACCUUUCACAUUCCGGGCAAACCCAAAUCCUUUAACUGUGGUUCCUCUAAAUCCAAA